GCCACAUCUCCAUGGCGACGGGCUGGAGCUGGCGCCAGUCAGCGUGCUGGUAUGCAGCUUCACCAUCUGCUGAGGCCGGAGACAGACAGAGAGACAGUGAAGGACAGAGGGAGAGAGUGAGGGAGAGGCAGGGAGGAAGACAGAGAGAGGGAGAGCUGUAGUGCUGUUUCAGCAGAGCGCUCAGUACCCCCAUGCCGUCUGGGGCCCCUGCCUUGCCCAGCGCUGUCUGCCCAUCCUCGCACCUGUACAGGAAGUAGCUGAGGCACAGGGAGGAUGCUGUUAGCAUGGAGUCAUCCCGAAGCCCCCCACCAGCGCCCUCGCCUGACACAUGCCGCCACAGAUCCACUUCCUGAUGACAGCAGCCGUUCGGGGGACAAGAUGAGGCUAAACUGCCAACGACAGCAAGAUGAAGAGGAGGUGGUAGAUGGAGAAAAACGUCCCAGCAGAGAGUGGAAAACAGAAGAAAGCAAAAAGGAACAAUAGGCUGACCUAGAGAAGGAAAGGAAGAGGGGAGCAGGAAGGAGACUGCGCUGAACACUGGAGAAAUUUCAUUAACACUGCAGGACGCUGCAGAAAUUCAGUCUGCACUAAAGAAGAACACUAAAGAAAUUCCAUUAGCAAUGGAAAAAAAAUCCAUCUGCAGAAAUUCUGUGUGCACUGGAGAACGCAGAAUAUAAUCCAUUUACACUGCAUUUCAGUUUACAUAAAGCUGGGUGUGUGCA